UUUUCAGAGAUGAGAACGUGCCUUCGGGAACUGUGAGACAGGUGCUGCAUGGCUGUCGUCAGCUCGUGUUGUGAAAUGUUGGGUUAAGUCCCGCAACGAGCGCAACCCUUAUCCUUUGUUGCCAGCGGUUAGGCCGGGAACUCAAAGGAGACUGCCAGUGAUAAACUGGAGGAAGGUGGGGAUGACGUCAAGUCAUCAUGGCCCUUACGACCAGGGCUACACACGUGCUACAAUGGCAUAUACAAAGAGAAGCGACCUCGCGAGAGCAAGCGGACCUCAUAAAGUAUGUCGUAGUCCGGAUUGGAGUCUGCAACUCGACUCCAUGAAGUCGGAAUCGCUAGUAAUCGUGGAUCAGAAUGCCACGGUGAAUACGUUCCCGGGCCUUGUACACACCGCCCGUCACACCAUGGGAGUGGGUUGCAAAAGAAGUAGGUAGCUUAACCUUCGGGAGGGCGCUUACCACUUUGUGAUUCAUGACUGGGGUGAAGUCGUAACAAGGUAACCGUAGGGGAACCUGCGGUUGGAUCACCUCCUUACCUUAAAGAA
rnacentral:rRNA from 1 species